rnacentral:misc_RNA from 1 species
GACUUCGUCUGGGUACCCGACUCAAUCCGGCGCUGCGUGAUUUUUAUUGCAACCACGUUUUUGAGUGACGUUUCGCAAGCAGAUUGCUCCUUUACCGUCGUCAAAGUCGGAAAAAAGAUCUUCACAUUGUCAGCUUCCGAAGUUUCAUUGACUUCUUCGUCUGUGUUUUUCAGUCACUGAAGUUUCUGUCGGUGUGUCGAAGCUAUGGCUUCGGCGUCGAAAUUGGAAAUGGUGUGCCGAACGCUGCGGGGCGUACUGCUGUCGGAAAAGGGCGGAGUUGCCAUUCACAGACUGCAGGGUGAUUUCCGGGAAUUGACGGGCACGCCGUUGCAGUUCAAGGAGUUUGGGUAUCCUUCACUGGAAGCUUUUCUCCAGUCAAUUCCCCAUGUUGUUUCGCUGCAAAGGGGUCCCGACGGAGACGUACUUUGCAAAUGUGUCACGGAUGACACAACUCAACACAUCGGCAGCUUGGUGAGCAGACAGAAAGGCAAGAAGAAAAGCAAAGGGUCCGGAAUGAAAACGCAUCCAGGAAAACCAAGGGGCUCCCCAUACAGACCCAAACCUUUUUAUGGGAACUAUAAUCCAAGCAGGAAGCCCCAGCCGGUGACGCCAAAGUUCAGGACAAAAAAACCCAAUCCAAAAUUCUACAAACUGGCGACCCAGCAGCCAAGAUUUCACAUCCCUAGACCAGCUGUUCCCUCUCAGAGCGCACCUCCGAAACCAACUCCGCAGAAAACUGUGCCGGUGAACCAUUACCAAUCCAGGACAAAGACCGAGUCGACCAAAAGCCUUGCAAGCACAUAUAGGAGUUCAGCAAAUGCGUCAGCGACAGCUGUGCAGCAACCCACUGGAACCUGGUCGAAAACUGCGCCGGUGAACAAUCGCCAAUCCACGACGCAGACGGAGACAACCAAAAGGCUUGGAAGUGCAUCAACGAGUUCAGCAAAUGCGUCAGCGACAGCUGUGCAGCAACCCACUCCAGGGCCCUGGUCGGGCAAACUUGGCUCCAGACGCAACCAGCAGUCUGCCAGUUCAAACCUUGUGGAUGCCAAGCGGAAUCAGCCCAAGCCAGACCCUCCCACAACUCAACCGACCACAAACAAACCAAAAGUGUACGAGAACAUCUACAUCACUGUGGAGAAUGACGGUGCCACGAAGGGGAAGGCGAAAUCUGCGAAACCGAACAAGGUGGAACGGUCUGCCAGCUUGGAAUCCGCAAAAGCUAAGAAGCCGGAAUGGUCCCCUAACUACGAAGUCCCCCCUCGCUUUAAGAAGCUGAUGUCCCCUACUGGAACAAGUUUUCCUGACCACCAGGUUGCUGGACCAGACAGGACCCAAGACACGACUUCUGACCCUCCCGUCAAAGCAAGGCCACCGCAAGUCACCUCCAGUACUCCCCCGAUCAGAGGAAAGACAUCAGACUGGAUACAGAAGGUUCUGGUAGAAAAGGCAAAUGGCAUCUGGGCUAGUGGCCUCUCUGACAUGCACAAGAAGGAGUUUGGGAGCAGUCUAGACGCAACCAUCAUCGACCAGAUGGCAGAACAAAAUCUACUUCAGAAAGAAAUGGUCUUAAAUAACAUCAUCCUGUAUCCCAAGCUGACGGUUAGUAUAAAGAACUCGUCUGAAUCCAAAGUGUCAAAACGGACAGUAAACCUUGGUGCCGGAGAUCAGAAGGAGGUAGGAACAGCUGCGGAGAAGACGGGAAACCAGACUGCACAAAGUUGCCCAGAAGCAAAGCCCAACAUAACCCCUGCGCUUACCAAGCUCACACCCCCGAAGAAUCUUUUCCAAGACCCUGCUCUGGCUGACCCCAGCUUGGCAGACAUUUUACAGGCCGUCUGCCAAAGACAGAACUUACCGCUGAUGUACAAAACUGAACCCGAGACCCUCCUUGGGAAGCCCUAUUUGGCCGUGAACUGCACAGCAGGUUUGCAAGUUAGCAUGGCACAUGGGAUCACCCAGAAGGCUGCCGUUGAGGCGGCAUCCGCUAAUAUUCUCUACCAGUGGAACAUCAUGCCCGGCGAUGUAAGUCAAGUUAGUCAGCCCACUGCAGGGAGGGAGGAGCUGUACUUGAGAGUCGAGCAUCAAGCUGGGUUCUGUGACUGCUCUGCUGCAGAACGUCACGACGACUGUAAGGUCCCAAGAUGCAUGGCCAGCUUGUUAAAGAGAAUAAGAUGGAAGUCUUCAGAUGACCAGUUCAUCCAGCAAAAUCGUAGAGUCACUCCCACAGCAGGCGUGCCUCGGAGGAUUACAAACCUCUCCCAAGUGGACAGGUUGGAAGCAAGAGCUGCCCGGUUUGGUCUUAAUCCCAAAGCAGCUCUGGAGGAAGUGGAUUCUCAGCAACCCAAACCUCUCAUGAACUUAUCCUUCUCUCAGGGCAGAGCUGAAAGGUUCUGUGUUGUAAACUCAAAAACUUUGUUGCAACCUCGGGAAACAAUUCAAGGUGCACAGGUACUGGAAGCUGAGGACAACUCCAACAAGGCUUCUUCAACUGGAGAGUUUCAUGUUCAACCAAAUGCUGCUGCUCAAAAGGAUGCUGGAAUCUUCCCAGACUUGCAAGAGGUAAAGCCACUCUCACAAGAGGAGAUUCUAAACAAGAGGGCAGAGAGGUUUGGCCUCACAUUAAAUGAAUAUACUCAUCCACAACCUGUUGUCGGCAAGACAGAUAACAACCCACAGUCACUGGCAGGCAUCACAAGCAACUCUGUGACAACUUUACGGAGAGCUCCAGACCUGGAGAUUCGGAGAGUUCUACGGGAGACAUUUGGCAGAACUGCCAUCUAUGAGACAGUCAAGGAGACCAUCUCAAUGGAACGUCCGCUUGUUAGUGUGUGCUUCAUUGCUGGGUCUGUUGUUGGCAUUGGGAAAGGACCAACUAAAUCUGAGGCCAGGAAGGCAGCACUGAAGGAGUUGCUGUUGAAUCAGAGACAGUUGAAAAGCAAGCUGAAAUCAGCGAGCCACAAAAAGCUGAAUCAAGAGGAGCUUCCAAACACCCAAGAUCAAGACUCAGAGCCAGUGGCAAGAAGUCACAGAUAUCCAGAGGUACCUCAAGACGAGAACUUGAAUAACUCUGGAAUCCAGAAUUAUGAAAGCUCAUCGAGCAGGAAUGAAGCAAACGACCAACAGCAAGGAAAAGGUUCCCCCAAGGAGCUGCCACCUUGUCCAGGAUCUGAAGAAGUUUGUCGAGAGAGGAAGGGUUGGCCGAUGAAGCCAGACCUAGAUCUACAAUUUCGGAACAUUGACAACAACAAAAUGCUGAAUGUAGAGAAACGGAGAACGAGUCCUAGAGGAGAGUACCAACUUCUACAAGAUGCAUCAAGCGGCACUGCCUUCCCUGAUAAAAUGGGGAAGGACUCUUGCAGCCUUGGCAUCUCAAGAUGGCAGCAGAGCCCAGACUCUUGGACAGGCUCCCUCAGAAAUGGCACCCCUACAGGACCAUCCACUUCAGUUGUUCAGCCCAUCAACAAUGCCAGAUGGAAACCUUCAGAUGACUGGGUCGUCCAGCAAAAUCCCAGACUCACUCCCACAGCAGACGCGCCACCUACCAACAACGGCACUCCUGCCACCAGUCCGACAAACAUUGUCCCUAGCAACCUGUCCUCACCCAGAACUGUUUCCCCAGGUGCCCAGUUGCUAGGCAACCCAACGCUAGGCAACGCAUCCUCACCUGGCGACCCGUUGCCAAGGAACGGUUCACCCCAAGACCCUGCACAGGCCGAAAGCGAUGCCUCAAAUAUCAAUGAGAUUACCAACAGCCUUGCCAACGCCCAGCUUAGUGGCACCCACUCGCCCCCAUGUGUACCCGUUGAGGAGACCUGUAGUGAACCCAGUGAGCCUAGUGAGGGGGGCGGUUCACCCACUAUGGAAGUGUCAGGCGUGCCCAACCUGCAGUUGCCAGAAGAAGAUGAAUGGGAUGUUUACGUGGCAUACAUCAAGAGUUUGUCCGACUUCUUUGUUAUUCUGAUUGGAGAUGACUAUUCGGAGCAGUUGAUGGUUCUGGAGGAGGAGAUGCGGCUCUUCUACCAAUGCAGCACCUGGACCCUGACUGACCCGCCGGAGGAAGGUGACUGCUGUGCGGCACAGUUCAACAGGGAGUGGCUUAGGGUCAUGGUCAAAUCGGUCCAAGGGGACCAGGUCGAGUGCUUUCUGCUUGAUCAUGGCGACAUUGAGACGGUAGAUAUCAGUUUUCUCAAACCGUUGUCCGACACUUUCCUACAACUUCCCUUUCAGGUGGUUCGCUGCAAGUUGGCUGGAAGCGAGCAGGUGGCAAAGGACGACGACACGGCACUACAGAUGUUCUGCCAGCUGGCCUUGGGCAAAAACCUGCUGGCGGAAAUCACAUCAAGGGAUGGCGACCAAGUCACGAUGGAGCUUUUCGAUGAGUCUGACGUCUCUAUUCUGGAGCAGAGUAUGGCGGCUGGCAUUUAACCUCUGAAAAUCAGAGCAUUGCAAGAACUACCACUUCCAAUUCUGAAAUAAAAAAAUGUUUUUGUUAUCCAAUCUGUUUAGUUUCAGCUAAUCUUAAAAUAAAAGCGUUUCGUCUGAAAGAUAAUUUCUCUUUUGACUGUCUGUGAACGUGGAAAAUGUUUGCACAAAUAUCUUUCCCUGGUAAUUCUAGUUGCAUAAAAUCUGAGGCAAAGAAAUAGUAGUAUUAAUUUGAUAUUCUUGGAAAUCUUUCUUCCACUGGCAAGUUACGGACACUGAAUCUCCCUCUUGCGUACAUUUCCAAACUUUGCAACUGGGCUUAACCUACAAGCAAAUGAUUUUUUUUAAGUGUCUUCUAAUAUUGUGUGUGAAAAUACAUUGUUACCUUGUGCCUUCCCAGUUUUUGAAAUUUGUUUUUAAAAAUUACACGGCAAGUCCUUUGAAGUAAGUGUUCGUUCUUUACAGUACUGCAAAUAACGCUCACGUCUUAAACAUGCAAUAUGUGAGGCGCACAUGUUGGAGAGGCACACAUGUAUCCCACAUUGAACAGUGACAGGGCGAUACCUUUACCAUACUUUUGUCUGGAUGCGGCAAAGUCCAUCAAUUCAUGCCUACAAUGUACUCAUAAUUCGGGCAAUUCACAAUGCAGUGCGCCACCAAGAGUUUGCCAUGGAGUAAUGUUUUGCAAGGAACAAUUUCAAAUGUCCCGCGCUAUCGAAGAUCUCCCACAAUGCACUGGGAAAACUGAACUCUCCAUGGCAAACUCUUGGUGGCGCACUGCAUUGUGAAUCACCCAAAUUGCCAAUGGAAUCCUGUUACAUAUAGUUUCGGAAUGUCAAGUUACAUGCACUAUCCAUGGUUGUUUACUCAAAGACUCGGUUAUGUUAAAUUGGUACCUGUAGUUAUCAGGCAUGCAACUUUUUCUCAGAUCAGCUGAUUUCCUCGUUUUUCAAUUCUCAUGACUGCCAUUACAAAUCGAAAAACACUGUACAAAGUCUUGAUUGGUUUGGAAUUUCCUCUUUUUUUUUUUACAUUCCCAGUUGCUUGCCCGAGUUAUCUUUGAGACAUGGUAACAUUAUAAUGCAUAGGCCUAAUAGCCAGUACUCAAAAUGUACAUUUGUACUAGCUACAGCAUCAGUGUACAGUACUCAAGUUACACAGGUGGCAAUCAAGAGAUACUCGCAUGCUAUAGUGUAAGAUUUUAAAAUUGUUAUAAGUGGUUGUACUAAACAAAACUAUUACAGAAAUGUUAAGUGGUAAACUUUGCAAGAUGCGAUUACAAAUAUAGGUACUGGAGUUAUUGUGUGGUAUCAAUGUUUUGAAGUGUACAAUGCACCCAACAGAGGUAUCGAGUAGAAAUGGGUAUUACUGGGUGACAUUUGGGUUAAACGUCGCCCAGUAAUGGGCACCCAUUUUGGGUACCCAACAGAAAUGGGUAUUACCGGGUGACAUUUGGGUACAGACGUCACCCAGUAAUGGGCACCCAUUUUGGUUACCCAACAGAAAUGGGCAUUACUGGGUGACAUUUGGGUUAAACGUCGCACACUAAUGGGCACCCAUUUUGGGUACCAAACAGAAAUGGGUAUUACUGGGUGACAUUUGGGUACAGACAUCACCCAGUAACAGGCACCCAUUUUGGUCACCCAACAGAAAUGGACAUUACUGGGUGACAUUUGGGUACAAACCACCCACAGUAAUGGGCACCUGUUUUGGGUACCCAACAGAAAUGGGCAUUAGUGGGUGACAUUGGGUAUUUUGUACUAUUAUGGGUAACGGAGGAAGCACGGCCCGCAUAUGAAUUCUGUUGAUUUGACAGAAAUCAUAUUUGCCUAGGUCCGAAUUUAGUUUAGAUAAAACGGUGUGCUAGAGGUACAAGGUUUUUUUUUUUCAUCGUUAUGUAAAUGUGUAUAAAUGUAAAUAAUUUUGGUGACAUUACGAAAACUCUUUCUUUCCUUUAAUGUAAAGUUCAUGUAAGAUACAUUUGUAAAUUGGAAAUUACGAUGAAAAGUACUCAAGCUCUGAGGUUGUUUGAAGCAUUCCUGAAGUGCAGAAAAUUGUGUGUUCAAAUAAUUAUGCAAGUGAUCGAGAAAUACCAAACAUUAAAAAAAAAAAUCACCCAGAUUUUUGAUUGGAGUUUUUUGCAACUUUGUUGAAUUGCUUGAAAAUUAUCGCUCAGCAAUCUCAAGUAAUGAGCAGAUAUAUGCCGAGAACCAGUCAUGGGCAAUACAAAUUUCAUUAUAUUUUGGCUGGUAACCCAACAAAGCCAUUAUUAUGGUCAUGAUGGUAGACAAAUUGUGUAUUUGCAAUUAACAGCAUUCUGAGCUGGGUGCAAAAUGAGACGAGUUAAAUCAUGCCAAAGUUGUGCCAUUGAGUGUUUUCUUCCAUAUGAUGAAACCCAAUUUUAAUAUUGAUUUCUUAAUUAUUUUUUUAAAUAAAAACCAUCAAAGUUCAUAUAAAGAAAUUCUUUUUAUUUUUAUGUUAAAAUGGUUAGGUUCUUGAAGUUGAAUAAAAAAGAAAGAAAACGAAA